rnacentral:rRNA from 1 species
GAUGAACGCUGGCGGCGUGCCUAACACAUGCAAGUCGAACGGGAAUCUUCGGAUUCUAGUGGCGGACGGGUGAGUAACGCGUAAGAAUCUAACUUCAGGACGGGGACAACAGUUGGAAACGACUGCUAAUACCCGAUGUGCCGCAAGGUGAAACCUAAUUGGCCUGAAGAAGAGCUUGCGUCUGAUUAGCUAGUUGGUGGGGUAAAGGCCUACCAAGGCGACGAUCAGUAGCUGGUCUGAGAGGAUGAGCAGCCACACUGGGACUGAGACACGGCCCAGACUCCUACGGGAGGCAGCAGUGGGGAAUUUUCCGCAAUGGGCGAAAGCCUGACGGAGCAACGCCGCGUGAGGGGGGAAGGUCUUUGGAUUGUAAACCUCUUUUCUCAAGGAAGAAGUUCUGACGGUACUUGAGGAAUCAGCCUCGGCUAACUCCGUGCCAGCAGCCGCGGUAAUACAGGGGAGGCAAGCGUUAUCCGGAAUUAUUGGGCGUAAAGCGUCCGCAGGUGGUCAGCCAAGUCUGCCGUCAAAUCAGGUUGCUUAACGACCUAAAGGCGGUGGAAACUGGCAGACUAGAGAGCAGUAGGGGUAGCAGGAAUUCCCAGUGUAGCGGUGAAAUGCGUAGAGAUUGGGAAGAACAUCGGUGGCGAAAGCGUGUUACUGGGCUGUAUCUGACACUCAGGGACGAAAGCUAGGGGAGCGAAAGGGAUUAGAUACCCCUGUAGUCCUAGCCGUAAACGAUGGAUACUAGGCGUGGCUUGUAUCGACCCGAGCCGUGCCGAAGCUAACGCGUUAAGUAUCCCGCCUGGGGAGUACGCACGCAAGUGUGAAACUCAAAGGAAUUGACGGGGGCCCGCACGAGCGGUGGAGUAUGUGGUUUAAUUCGAUGCAACGCGAAGAACCUUACCAAGACUUGACAUGUCGCGAACCCUGGUGAAAGCUGGGGGUGCCUUCGGGAGCGCGAACACAGGUGGUGCAUGGCUGCCGUCAGCUCGUGUCGUGAGAUGUUGGGUUAAGUCCCGCAACGAGCGCAACCCUCGUUCUUAGUUGCCAGCAUUAAGUUGGGGACUCUAAGGAGACUGCCGGUGACAAACCGGAGGAAGGUGGGGAUGACGUCAAGUCAGCAUGCCCCUUACGUCUUGGGCGACACACGUACUACAAUGGUCGGGACAAAGGGCAGCGAACUCGCGAGAGCCAGCGAAUCCCAGCAAACCCGGCCUCAGUUCAGAUUGCAGGCUGCAACUCGCCUGCAUGAAGGAGGAAUCGCUAGUAAUCGCCGGUCAGCAUACGGCGGUGAAUUCGUUCCCGGGCCUUGUACACACCGCCCGUCACACCAUGGAAGCUGGUCACGCCCGAAGUCAUUACCUCAACCGCAAGGAGGGGGAUGCCUAAGGCAGGGCUAGUGACUGGGGUG